rnacentral:rRNA from 1 species
GCAUAUCAAUAAGCGGAGGAAAAGAAACCAACAGGGAUUGCCCUAGUAACGGCGAGUGAAGCGGCAACAGCUCAAAUUUGAAAUCUGGCGCAAGCCCGAGUUGUAAUUUGUAGAGGAUGCUUCUGGGCAGCGGCCGUUCUAAGUUCCUUGGAACAGGACGUCAUAGAGGGUGAGAAUCCCGUAUGUGACCGGCGCGCACCCUCCACGUAGCUCCUUCGACGAGUCGAGUUGUUUGGGAAUGCAGCUCUAAAUGGGAGGUAAAUUUCUUCUAAAGCUAAAUACCGGCCAGAGACCGAUAGCGCACAAGUAGAGUGAUCGAAAGAUGAAAAGCACUUUGGAAAGAGAGUUAAAAAGCACGUGAAAUUGUUGAAAGGGAAGCGCUUGCAACCAGACUCCGCGGCGGUGUUCCGCCGGUCUUCUGACCGGUCCACUCGCCGCCGUGGGGCCAUCAUCGUCUGGGGCCGUCGGAUAAGACCGUAGGAAUGUGGCUCCCUCGGGAGUGUUAUAGCCUGCGGUGAUGCGACGCGCCCCGGGCGAGGUCCGCGCUUCGGCAAGGAUGAUGGCGUAAUGGUUGCCAGCGGCCCGUCUUGAAACACGGACCAAGGAGUCUAACAUCUAUGCGAGUGUUCGGGUGUCAAACCCCUACGCGUAAUGAAAGUGAACGGAGGUGGGAGCUUCGGCGCACCAUCGACCGAUCCUGAUGUCCUCGGAUGGAUUUGAGUAAGAGCAUAGCUGUUGGGACCCGAAAGAUGGUGAACUAUGCCUGAAUAGGGUGAAGCCAGAGGAAACUCUGGUGGAGGCUCGCAGCGGUUCUGACGUGCAAAUCGAUCGUCAAAUUUGGGUAUAGGGGGCGAAAGACUAAUCGAACCAUCUAGUAGCUGGUUCUGC